GGGUCUGAAUGUAAAGUGGAUGUGUGAACACCAAUCUGUGAUAACUUGACCGUCAUGCUGCACUCGGAAUUAGAAUGGACCGAAUGGCUUUGUGCUAUGGUGCUGAACGUUUUAUUUGACUGUAUGCUAAACUGAUGAUGUGAUUAUUUUGUAGUACAGUAAUGUGUUGUAUGGUAUGGAAGUGUAUGGACGUUACAAUGUGGAUAACCUGGAACUGUCAGCAGGUUUCAGAAUUGAUUGUUACAUGGUACAAAUGAACACAGGGCCUCAAAGAUGGAGAAGAAUUGAAGAUAUUAACAUGGGAGAUGGGUUUAGGACAACAAUAGAAGUCUUGGUCAGAGAGAUAAAAUUGGUUAAAUAACAGGUGCUGACUUUGGUCAACUGUUUUGACCAAAAAGUCAACAAUGGGUCAAAAAGUGAAUUUUUGUAAUGAUGUAUUGUAUUUGGAUUUUGUAAUGGAAUGGUUUUGAUGUAA